CUUUCAGGGCAAGAUUGGCUACAUAUCCACUCAGAGUGCUAGGAUAACCUUAGGGUUUUGGUAUCUUUGUUUUUGUCAAGCCAGUCUGGCAGGGGCAGAAGAAUGCAUGGAGCCAUCAAGGCAGCUGAAGGAAGGAAUAGAGCUUGGGCAGACACUUAAGUCACCAAGAUUAUCCACUGUAUCCCAGGCCAUCCCCAGUCACUCUGGCUUCUGUCUCAACGCUGGACUUCAAUGACUCUGGAAGAGAGAGAGAGGCUGAUGAUUGUGUGCAAAUCUGCAUCACUGAAAUACAACUCAAGGACAAGUCAAGACAUCACCCUGUGAUAUCACUGGUCCUUUUCCAAAACGAAGGAUAAACAACAACAUCAUAGCAGAGCAUGUGGAAAAUACUCAAUACAUAUUUGUUAAAUUAAAUUGAAUUUUUGGAUAAAAAGCUAGAAUGAAUAAAUCAAUAAACAUUUAUUUAGUGUG